CCACCAAUCACAGGCUGUGCUUCGCCCGACCAAUUAGAACACAGCACAGGCUGUUGCUGGGCUAUAACAAAACUACCUUGAAUGAUUAUUGCCCCCUGGGUUUCACAGUCUUAAGGGUUAGAGCCAAUUAAUAUAAUUAAGUUGUAAGUGAAUUAUCAAAUAGGUUUUCAGUGUUUAUUGUCCAGAAGACAACUAAACAGAAUCUUUGAGGAACCUUCUCCAGAUUGCCUUGAUAUCCUAAUUAUGAGGUUGAAGAAGCCCUGAGCCAGUGCUUUAUUUUGUGAGACCACCACUACUUUGACCUUUUCAUUCAGAUGUAUUUGGAGUUUUUAUGUAAAAUGAUGCUUGGUUUAUUCCAUUUGAUCUGUAGAUAUUUCAUGUAUCUAAAGGAACACUUGAAGGCACCAUCAUGCACAUGUAAAUUCCCCCUUUCAUACAGAAGCAGUCUUUUCUGCUCUACUAGUAAAACACAAAGGUUAGUAUAGUCAAAAUCCCAUUUGUAACUCAUUGUUUACACAUGAUGAAUAGUCCAUUCGUUUGAUGACAGCAUACAACAAUGUGAAUGGAAAUAAUGAAGUUCAUGGAAAAGGGCCAAGAAAUUUUUCCAGGGGCAGAAAAAAAGGUAGGACUUGAUAUCUUUUGAAACUUGAUGAAAGGAAGUCAUGAGAGGAUCAGAGACAGGGCUGACAUUGUUAAGUACUUCAUUGUAACUGGAAAUAUUUGAAAAACUCAAACCACCAAAACUGAAAUAUUCGCUAAAAAGGGGAAAGACAGCUAUAUUCAGCGAGAUCAAGACAAUACUUUUGAUAUGUCUGCCAAGGUCAAUCAAAGAAUGUUAGAUUUAAAAGAUAAUGCCAAAAACAAUCUGUUCAAGGUCCAACAGCAGUCCUUCCAUCCAUCUAUGCAUCCAUCAAUCUCACUUCAGGAUGGUGAAAUGAAAAAAAAAAUCCAAGUGUGACUUCAUUGAAGUGCCUUACAAAAAUACAGCAAAUUGAAACAUACCAAAGAUUAUUUGAAAGACCAGCAACAGUAUAUAUUCAAUAAUUAAUAUUGUACCCUUGUGACUCUAUAGCCCCGGGCAUCAGAAAUAGAUCUUCCAUUCAAAGAGACACUGUGAAAGUCUUUUAACAGAAAAAGUAAAAGAAUUUCUUUACCAGAAGAGAAAGAAAAUACUAUGGUCUUAAAACUUUAUAUAAGUGGCACCACAGGACAUUACAAGAACAAAAGUGUGACUUCCUAGAGCAUCUUGAUCUUCUGAGUGUAAUGUUUUUACCAGGUCAUUUUCUUGCCUUUGCCUCCUUCAGAGGAAGUAAGUGGAAAGCUACAAUAGCAAAAAAAAAAACUACAAUCAAUGCUUCUAAAAUGUGUGUUUGAACAAGCUUGAUGUUAAAAGUACAUUUUUGUUUCAGACCAGAUAGAUGACCAUCAUUUCAGUUUCUUCUGUUCAAAAAUACACUGAUAUUAAAUGAUAAUAACAUAAAAUUAACAAGGAAUACCAUGAAGAUACUUUUUACAGGCAUCCAAGAAAUCUUUGGACUAGAGGUUUAGAAAAUGAUAGUUCCCACUACCAAAUUGUUUGUAUCAUGAGAUAAAAAAGGAUUGAGGAAGCUUUAAAUAGAAAAAAAAAUCUAAUAAUUUGAACUUUAUAUCACAUUUCAAAUAUUUUAUUAUUAUAUUUUUUUUUAAAAAGAGUAAUGAUUAUUUGUAGGGUGUUUUUUUGUGAGCAAGCUUAAAUAUCUUUGCCAUCUUAAAAUGGUAAAUAGAAGAAAAUGUAGCACAAACCUAAAAUAGACUUAACAUAGACCACCCUGCCAGCCUGCAUCAAAUCCUGUCUCCACUAAUGUAUACGUGCAAGCUUAGCAUCAUCAGUCCAUUCUCUGCAGCUGUUAGCCAUACCCAAACCAUUGAGCUAGGCCAUUAAAUGCAUUGCUUCAGACAUUAAAAAGUUAUUCACCCAUAUUAAGAAGUCUUGUUUGCUUAAAGCUAGCUUUUGUUUUGAUCAUUGCAAAAAUCUUUAGGCAACUCUUCUAUGUGUAACCAUUAAAUGAAUUCAUAAGAGAAAAUAUAGAAUUGUCCCAAUUGGUCCUGUGCCCUAAUCAUGUUUAUUUUGCUGUCAUUGUCAAAGAGGGAAACUAGGCAGAAGUCUUACUGGCGUUUUUCCUUAUGUGGAAGAAUCCUAUUUUAAGUCUGUACAAAUAUUCAAAAUAUUGAAUAUGCUUCAUGCUGAAUACAUGGUAAUGCUCAUGAUAUAUGAUAAUGAGUAUAUUGCCAUUCUAUAGGAAGCUGGGAUUUCUCAUAAUGUAGAAUCUUAAACUGUAGAUACAGGGGCCAUCAUUCAUAGGUUGAAUGAUUCCAACAGAAUCCAUUCUGAUAUGGACAAGCAAAAUUUAUGACAUAAAUGAACCGGAAGAUAAUAAUAUAUAGAUUUGAUUAGGGUAUCGAGUUAACUAUAAUCUAUAAUUUUUAGUAAUGUUCUGUUAGAGGCUAAGAGUUUCAGAGAUACUACUGGAGUUAGUAUACAUUAAUACUAUGUCAUUAAUUUAUUCUUUGGAUGUGAGCUCACAAAUACUUCAAUCUUUGCUUGGUUUCCCUCCUUACAAAUAUUUAUAAAUAUGACCAGCUGCACUGAAGAUUUCUGCAGAAAAUUAAAAAGUGUUUUUCUGAUGUGAUUCACAGAGGCUUGGGAAGAAGGUAAAAGUGCCACAGUACUGACUCAAAAAGAAAAAUACAGCUGGAGGAUGCCAGACUGCGGAAGGAAGGCUUUAGGAAAAAGAAGACACAACAUAGGAAAAAAAUUGACUACUCUCCAAGAAUCAAUUGAGUAAUUUCGAAAGUCAGAAACCAGUUGUCUUAAUGUAUUUUGGAAGUGGCAUCCACAAGAGGUCAAAAAACACCAAGAUGGCACAGAUACAACUGUACAAUCAAGGCUCUGCACAUGAAAAAGAGGUGAGCUUCAAUCAUAUAUAAAUGUAGGUACAGAUCUAUGCAGUUCCUACCCUGAUAUUCCAGAAGUCUUAAAAAAAAAUCUGCCUUCUGUCUUUGGCCUGGGAUAUGGUGCUUGAUGAUACAUGUUAAUGGUGUGUUUUUUUGUUAUACGGGAUGAGGCUGUCUGAACACUUCAGAUUUUUUCUUUAUUGUUUUUAUGGAUUUCAGCUGUGGGCCACUUAGAAUCAUUCUGGAAUCAAACUGUUGGACGCUGAUGCUGAUGAUAACAUCUUGACUGAUUUGACCUAUCCUACAAAUGCCCUUGCCUCUGGGGAAGCAAUUUAGGGAAGGCUGAGAUAAUCAAUACAAUAUUAUAUGGAUCAAUGAUCUGACUCACAAGUUCCAAUGCUAUAGAAUUGGAAAUAAAAUUCUUAUAUAGAACAGGGGUGUCAAACUCACGUCGUCACGGCAGCAUCACGUUACAUAUCGGGACUUUUUUCUCCUUUGCUAAAACGGGCAUGGCCGUGGCCAGCACAUGACACAUCCAGCCUACAGGCUGGGAGUUUGAAAGGCCUGAAAUAGGACAUUAACUUAAAUCACCUUUUAAGAAGGAGGGUUGCAAAUCUGAUACAUAUGUAUGCUGUUAUCUUUGCUUUGUAUUCUUGAAUGCUAUCAUAGUAUGACUGUUAUAUUUCAAAACAAUUAUAUUUUUAAGGCUUUCUGGGUUCUUCAAAAUUGUACUGUUCUGUUUUUCUGAGACCUCUAGUAUCUAUCUACACCUUGCUUUAGAAAAUAAUUAUUUUUUGUGACUUCUGAUUUGGGUGGAAAAUAUUUAAUGAACAUUUGUUUGAAAAUGUCUGCAUUGCAAGAAAACUUAUCAAAGCAAGGAAAGCACUUCCUUGAAAUUGAAUGAACUGGAACGCAUGAUAAUGCACAUGCUUAGAGAACCCGUAGGGGAGAAAAGAACCCAUUUUAUAAACACAACCUUGUUAUUGUUGUAGUAGAAUUUAAAGUGAAAUAAAAGUGCUAGGCAUCAACGUGUAUAAAUUCCAAAGCCUGUGACUGAAAAAGUAAACUGAUACAUACUGCCUAUCUAUAGGAAAUGUAAUCUCUUCCUUUUCAGAAUAACAACCUUCAUUAGUUGCAUUCACAAGAGAGCAGCUUUCUUCUGAAGGGGAGGAAGAAUGUCCACCUGCUUACGACUGCAAGAUGAAUGAUUUUUUUUUUGCAAGAUGGUCCUGUCUUCCUACAACACUUCUUACAGUGUUGGCUUUCCACUGACAUACGCUCUGUAAAGGUCCAGAUCAGUUUUUCUUCUUGGUGGCUGAAAAAUAAAUAUCAAAGGCUUUCAAAGGAUUAGUCCAAGUGCUCUAAAGAUAAAAAAGAUGAGUCAUAAAUACAUUCAGUUCAAUUUUUCUUGUUAACUGAUGAAAGGCUUAAUAUGAAUUUCAAUCUAGUCCAAAAAUAGCAAUAAUACACUCCUGUCUAAGAUGGCAAGAUCUGUCCUUGCUUUGACAGAAAAAUACUAUCUUGAAAUAAAUAGAAGCAAAUAAAUAGAUUUGUUAGUUUAUCCACAGGAUACUUCUAGACAAUUCUUCUGUCUCCUCAAAAUGGUAAAUCUCUAAUAGGAGGCAAGGCAGACAUAUCACGUCCAGUAAGAACACCAACUAACACUUCAAGGAUACAAGAGCAUACCAUUCCUGAAGUAAUGUUUACUUCUUUGAAAUAACAUUUCUUGUCUGUGGAUAUAAUCCCACUGGGGCAGGAAUAUAAUAAAAAUAGCUUAUACUUGCAAAUUUAUGUUUAUGAUCAACAGAUCAACAGAAAUUCUUCUUGCACAAGUAUCAGUCCAGCAUCUUCAUCUGGAAAGCAUUCUAGAAUGGACAGAAACUGUAUAGAUGUAAUGUCACAAUAGCUCUCGUACCAGCAUGACAGCACAAUGCUUCACAUAUCUCAUAUAAGGGUAGUGAAAAAAUAAGAUAUGGCAGAAAUAAAUAAGAAUGUCAAUUGCUCCAACCUAAGCUGCAGAACUGGGUUGGCCUUGAAUUGGUGUCAUUUUCGUGAUGGUCUGUGUAUAUUCACAUAGCUGCAUGCUCAGGAUUAUUGUCAUAAUCCAGAAAGCUAGAUUUAAUAUAUUAAAAAAAACAUUAAUGGUACAAGUUAUGAUGCCACUACUGCAUUUUUGUUAAUUACUAAUUACUGUCUGUUAGGGGACACUAGUGUUCUUUUUUUGUAGUAGUGCAACAGGAGCAGGCAAGUAGCAGACUUACUACUCCUUACUUUUAUUAUUAGCUUGAAAUCCUACUUAUCCUAACAGAGAUACAUGAAAACAGAGGAAACACCUUAACAAAGCCUUGUAGCUUGAUGCUUCUGGCCACCAUUUUCCUGGUAAGAAAAUAGAAUGUCAUCUGUUCUUAUGGAGAUGCAAGAGGACAUAAACUUAGUUUUAAAAAACAACAUGAGCAUUACAAAUAUGAUGCUGCAUGUGGCUAAAAAUAUAAUGUCAUGGUUGAAAGAUUGUGGGAAUUCUGUUUCUAUGUCUAUGACAGGUUUAUUCACUAACAAGAUCUGUCAAGACAAAAUAAUGCCUUUAUCAUCUAAAUCUAAAAUAAUGCCUAUAUCAUCACUCAUAUAUUUCAUAGCUGGUUGGAAUUCCAGAACAGUCAGUCAGCCUGGUUUCUUUAUGGAAAUCCUAAUAUAUUAAAUGGUAGCCAUGCCAAAAGAUGAUUAAUGAAGCUGCUGCACAGCAACCUUUCCUUUUCAUGUUGUUUAUAAGCUCUGGUCAUUUAUGCAAAGUUUCCAGGUUUACAUAAAAAGUAAUUCAUUGAAAUGUGCCUACUUCAUUCCAACAAUUGAAUGGAGGAAAAUAAAUAUUAUAUUGUGGCAUUUUAGGAUUAUACCAAGGAGAUCUAAAAUAUUGGUACCACAGUAUCAUGGUUUGUAAUAAUAAUUUCCAUUAUUUUUUUUCAAGUUUUGAAGUAUCUUUGCUAUAAAUGUAUCAGAUCAUUGAUUCUAUGAUUUUUAACUAUCUUUUAACUCUAGCAUUAUGUCAGGUAAUGUUCCCAAAGAUCACAUGCAGAAUAAUUGAACUGAAUCACAAAACAGCAUUUUCUGACUGAAAUACGAACAACUAUAUUUGCCCUUAAUUUCAGCAUUAUAGUGAUUACAAUGUAUAAGUCUACAGCUGUAUUUGAAGAUGGCUCUAGGUACUUUUUACACAGAGUAGGAGACCUACAAUAAGGCAUAAAACCUCUUCAAUUAGAACAUUUUCUUGAAAGUCUGAUUUUUGCUUUCACAGAAAAUAAGCAGGUUUGGGAUAAAAUCCCUCUUUCUUCUGACUUUAUUAAACUGAGAUUUGAGGUUGACAACCAUAAAUUAACUAGCCCUGAUGACUUCUAUACAGAAAGUAAAUGAAUUUAACGUAUAAGGUUACUUAUUUAUAAUCAAAUGACCAUGAUUAACAAAGAAAGGAGUUGCCAUUGUGUUGUAUUAAUAAUGAAAAUUUAGUGGUCUUAAGAUUUUUUGACAUAUUUCAAUUAGUGUUAUCUACAGUAUUUUAGAUUUUAAUUAUUUAAUUAGGAUUAUGCACUCUUUUAAAAAUACCGGUUCUAUUAUUUGCACUGUGCUUAUAUAUCCUCUGAUAGCCUUUCUUUCUGAAGCAUCUGAAAAACAGAAAUAUUUUGCUCUAGUUCCAGGUCAUCAUCGACUUUUCUGAGUCCUGCACCCCUCCUUUUUUUUUUAAGAAUACCUGUGGUGAGGACAGACUUACUGGCUACUUCUUAUAUUUGUCAGAGACAUCAGAUACUUAGAACAACACUAUAAUGCUCAGAUAUAAUUAAUAUGCCCUAAUUUUAAAUGUGUUUAUUGUCUUCCACAUAAAGAAUGCUGAAAAUGAGGAAAGAUAGAACUAGAAGAUCAAGAUCACUUCACCAAGGAGGCCGCUCUUAAUGAUCUGGGCAUAAAGGAGUUUAGCAGUUGGAACAUCUAUAUCCCAACAACCCCACUCUACUAACCUAAUCAAUCUAUUGUAUAGGAUCCCCUAACCUACUUGCCCAGAUUGAAGAAGCUACUUAGAUAAGCACCAAAACAUUUCAAAGCAACAAGAAAAGUCCAGUUACUAUGACUCAACUUCCAGUCAGCUAUAUAUAGCUCUUCAGGAUGUCCCAUCAGGUUAGAAAUAGGAUUAUUCCUUAGCUGAUUUUGGGCACUGAUGCUGAGCUUGUCGAUCAGAAAGGUUGGCAGUUUGGCGGUUC